UACAGAGGUCCCAAGCGUUGUUCGGAUUCACUGGGCGUAAAGGGUGCGUAGGUGGCGUGGUAAGUUUGAUGUGAAAGCUCAGGGCUUAACCCUGAAAUGGCAUUGAAUACUACUGUGCUGGAGGUUUGGAGGGGGGACUGGAAUUCUUGGUGUAGCAGUGAAAUGCGUAGAUAUCAAGAGGAACACCAGUGGCGAAGGCGGUUCUCUGGGACGGUACUGACGCUGAGACGCGAAAGCGUGGGGAGCGAACAGG
rnacentral:rRNA from 1 species